rnacentral:rRNA from 1 species
AGCGAACGCUGGCGGCAGGCCUAACACAUGCAAGUCGAACGGACCUUUCGGGGUUAGUGGCGGACGGGUGAGUAACACGUGGGAACGUGCCUUUAGGUUCGGAAUAGCUCCUGGAAACGGGUGGUAAUGCCGAAUGUGCCCUUCGGGGGAAAGAGUUAUCGCCUUUAGAGCGGCCCGCGUCUGAUUAGCUAGUUGGUUGAGGUAACGGCUCACCAAGGCGACGAUCAGUAGCUGGUCUGAGGGGAUGACCAGCCACAUUGGGACUGAGACACGGCCCAAACUCCUACGGGAGGCAGCAGUGGGGAAUCUUGCGCAAUGGGCGAAAGCCUGACGCAGCCAUGCCGCGUGAAUGAUGAAGGUCUUAGGAUUGUAAAAUUCUUUCACCGGGGAUGAUAAUGACGGUACCCGGAGAAGAAGCCCCGGCUAACUUCGUGCCAGCCGCCGCAGUAA